rnacentral:rRNA from 1 species
UGCGUAGGCGGUUUUAUAAGUCAGUGGUGAAAUACAACAGCUUAACUGUUGAGGUGCCAUUGAUACUGUAAGACUUGAGUACAGACGAGGUAGGCGGAAUUGACGGUGUAGCGGUGAAAUGCUUAGAUAUCGUCAAGAACACCGAUAGCGAAGGCAGCUUACUAGACUGUAACUGACGCUGAGGCACGAAAGUGUGGGGAUCAAACAGGAUUAGAUACCCUGGUAGUCC